rnacentral:rRNA from 1 species
AGGUCAGCGGCAGCUUAUACAUGCAAGUCGAGGGGCAGCACGGGUAGCAAUACCUGGUGGCGACCGGCAAACGGGUGCGGAACACGUACGCAACUUUCCCAAAACUGGUGAAUAGCCUUCCGAAAGGGAGAUUAAUACACCGUAAGAUGUAGGAGUGGCAUCACUCUUAUAUUAUAGCUCCGGCGGUUUUGGAUGGGCGUGCGGCUGAUUAGGUAGUUGGCGGGGUAACGGUCCACCAAGCCUGCGAUCAGUAACUGGUGUGAGAGCACGACCAGUCACACGGGCACUGAGACACGGGCCCGACUCCUACGGGAGGCAGCAGUAAGGAAUAUUGGUCAAUGGACGCAAGUCUGAACCAGCCAUGCCGCGUGCAGGAUGACGGCCCUCUGGGUUGUAAACUGCUUUUAUAGGGGACGAAAAAAGGGCUUUCUAGCUCGUCUGACGGUACCCUAGGAAUAAGCACCGGCUAACUCCGUGCCAGCAGCCGCGGUAAUACGGAGGGUGCAAGCGUUAUCCGGAUUUACUGGGUUUAAAGGGUGCGUAGGUGGGUCGGUAAGUCAGCGGUGAAAUCUUCGAGCUUAACUCGGAAACUGCCAUUGAUACUAUCGAUCUUGAAUCAUCUAGAGGUAAGCGGAAUAUGUCAUGUAGCGGUGAAAUGCUUAGAUAUGACAUAGAACACCAAUUGCGAAGGCAGCUUACUAUGGAUGUAUUGACACUGAGGCACGAAAGCGUGGGGAUCAAACAGGAUUAGAUACCCUGGUAGUCCACGCCCUAAACGAUGGAUACUCGACAUCAGCGAUACACCUGUUGGUGUCUGAGCGAAAGCAUUAAGUAUCCCACCUGGGAAGUACGAUCGCAAGAUUGAAACUCAAAGGAAUUUGACGGGGGUCCGCACAAGCGGUGAGCCAUGGGGUUUAAUUCGAUGAUACGCGAGGAACCUUACCUGGGCUAGAAUGCGGUUUGACCGCUGGUGAAAGCUAGU